CACCGGCGGCUCGAGUGGUGGCCACUUUUAUUGGGUCUAAAGCGUCCGUAGCCGGCUUGGCAAGUCCCCUGGGAAAUCUGGCGGCUUAACCGUCAGGCGCCCAGAGGAUACUGCCAGGCUUGGGACCGGGAGAGGUGAGAGGUACCUCAGGGGUAGGGGUGAAAUCUUGUGAUCCCUGAGGGACCACCAGUGGCGAAGGCGUCUCACUAGAACGGGUCCGACGGUCAGGGACGAAAGCUGGGGGCACGAACCGG
rnacentral:rRNA from 1 species